CUUUAGUUACGGAGAUCUCAGGGUGGUAGGCAAGCUUUGUGGCAGUCGCAAGGCCCAGAGGUGGCAAAAGAAUUCGUCUUACGGAAAGAAGGGAAUUCUAUGGAAGAUCCCCAGGAGUCCCAUGGAGAAAGCCAGCAGCCAGAGGGCCAAGAGAACAGAGCCACCUUUGGAAGUGACGUGUGGAGGGGAGCGACUCAGUGCAGCUGAAAUCGCGGUGCCUGUGCUGGCUGGACGCUCAACGUGAAUCUGCCGAAUGAAUGGAUGUAUGAGUCAGGAAGCUCAUCCAAUCAAAAACCACUUCCUGGCUCUGGAAAGCGGAGAGGUUUCCUAACGGUGUGGACCGAUCCUAAGCAUAUUCUCGUCUUGAUCACCCGACAUCUGGGGAAGUGGGCUCCCGCGGGAGGUCCUCGUAGGACCGUGGUGAGUGCGUGAGAAUCCGGGUGGGUCCUUCCAGGCCCAGGGAUGAACGCG